AAGUCGUAACAAGGUUUCCGUAGGUGAACCUGCGGAAGGAUCAUUAGUGUGAUGAGAGCGUGCCUGGGGCCUUGGGUCUCGGGGCUCUUGCUCAGUCCUGUGCUGCGUGUUUUUGGUGGUGGUGGUGGCGGUGCUGCAUGCUGUCAUGGUGCGCGCCCGCCCACCCACACACACAUUUCACCCUUGUUUACCUGGUUGUCUGAUCACAUCUGUGCCCACGGCACAAACAACAUCGAAAACUGCCAGCAAUGGAUCACUCGGUUCUC
rnacentral:misc_RNA from 1 species